AGUGUUAGCGUGCCAGAAGUUCUUUGAAUAAAAAAACACGAAUGUGAAAGAAGUACGGAAGUCCGUGAAAAUCGGACGCGGUCGCGCCGCUGUAAUUCCGUCAGCCUGUGAUAGGUUGACUUUCCCGCAAAAGAGCCACUGUUUCGAGCAAUCGAGAUGGGAAGGCAGCAGGAACAAAAGGAUGAGCCAGAAGACGUUAUCUUUCAUGUCAUCAUAU
rfam:Bacterium B17 isolate B17 NODE_5_length_30176_cov_11.7592, whole genome shotgun sequence.